rnacentral:rRNA from 2 species
UAUGUAAGGAGGUAAGGCCUGCUCACUGAAUUUUGAAGAGCCGCAGUAUCCUGACUGUGCUAAGGUAGCAUAAUAAUUUGUCUCUUAAUUGGGGACUAGAAUGAAUGGUCUAACGAGAAAUUAACUUUUUUAGGAAUAAUAAUUAAACUUAAUUUUUUAGUGAAAAAGCUAAAAUAAGAUAAAAAGACGAGAAGACCCUAUAGAGUUUUAUAUAUAAACUAUUUACAUUUUAAUAACUUUUUAGAAUUGUAAAUAAAGACUAUAUUUUGUUGGGGCGACAUUUAGAUAAAAAAAACUUUUUAUAUUAAAAACUCAAAUUUGAGUAUUUACUGAUCCUUAAAAAAGAUUAAAAGUAUAAAUUACCUUAGGGAUAACAGCGUAAUCUCCCUUGAGAGCUCAAAUCGACAGGGAGGUUUGCGACCUCGAUGUUGGACUAAAAUUAAACUAAGGUGCAGAAGUCUUAGAUUUAGGUCUGUUCGACCUAUAGAUUUUU